rfam:Cochliobolus heterostrophus C5 unplaced genomic scaffold COCHEscaffold_13, whole genome shotgun sequence.
GGCUUCGUGGCGCAAUGGUAGCGCGUCAGAUUCCAGUAUCUACCACUGGAGCUUCCUGAAGGUUAGGCGUUCAAAUCGCCUCGAGGUCA